AGUUGAAAGAGUGCCAUGAGUGCUUAGCAAGUUUUCCAGUUAGGCAGGAAUGUAGACCGAAGAGAACGUUCCGUACUUGAAGCAAACAGUAAUUGUUCUUGAGUUAUCUUAACCCAACAACAACAACAACACUUGUUUUCCCAAGACGGGGGCUGUAUAAGUGAAGUAAACAGACAAGAACACUGGGAGAACACAUUCAGAUCACCAAGGUGGAUUAGAUCAGGACAGCCGACUUGGAAGAAACAAAGCCAAAGGAACGAACCAAACAAGCUGUGAUGAUUCAAUGAGAUGCUGUCAUUAUCCAUUUUCUCAAAGGCUGAUAGAAUGCUGUCCUGAGCACACUGCAGUUACUCAAUAAACACCUGUUAAAAGCAAGCUUUCACUGGGUUGACCGAUGGACACUUAAGAGGACAAACAGCUGUCAGUAUCUGCUGAGCUGUCACCCAAAUUCCCUGAUGAUAAGAAUGCCUUGGGACCACAGCAUAGGUGGUGUCUCUCUGGAACUGAAACCAUUUCACUCUCAAGAAUUAAACUUCACCCAGGUCUGGAAAUAGCCAGCAACUUCGUACAGGGAGUAAACACUGCAUCCAGAGGUGCUGUUAACGAUUGCGGAAUUCAGAAAGCAGAGAGCUCCAAACACGGCAAUAAUCCCAGACCCGGAGAAUAUGAACGGGGUCCUGCAGUAUCUUUGUGUCUUCGACCACACCACCUAAGAGGGGUUGACAACUGUUUGCUAAAUGGAUGCACAAAAAAAUCAGCAGCAUGUCUGCUUCCUUCUCUUUAUAGCCACCUCCCUGCCCACUUAGUAAGCUGUUCUUUUUCUUAGAAAAAGAAAAGAAAACACCAUACUGA